rnacentral:lncRNA from 1 species
AUAGAUAUUAAUAUGGUAAAAAUUAUUUAGAAAUGGAUGUGAGAUUUUAGAGAUUGUAAAUUUGUUGCUUCACAUCUGGGGGGCUAGUAGGUUCUGUGGGGCUAGUAGGUUUUGGAAUAAUAGGCCCUUGUUUAGUAGGUUUUGGAAUAGGCUGGUGGGGGAGCUGGGGGGUCUUGGUGGGCUGCGGCUUCUUGGGUGGGAGUAUGCGAACGGUUUUCCAAUUAUUAGCAAGCCCUUGUGGAACAAGUAUAAGAGCAGCAAGGAACAACAUUGGUAACAAAAAGGAAACCAUUUUCAUAACUUGUUUUAAU